GUGCUUGCUUUGGCAGCACAUAUAGUACACUUGGAAUGAUACAGAGAAGAUUAGCAUGGCCCCUGUGCAAAGAUGACAUGCAAAUUCAUGAAGCAGUCCAUAAAAAA
ensembl:snRNA U6 U6 spliceosomal RNA